AUUUCUCCAGCUUAGUGCCUCCCUUAGCGAUCUCUCUUCCGCAUGUGGCGGAUUACUCUCUUUUUCGUGCGGAUUAUUUCCCCUCCAUCCGAAUGGAUUACCUUCUACCAUGGAUGCUCCUACUAGCCGGUAUGAUGUAGUAUGGGUGAUCGGUAGUUUCUCAACACUAAGAGAGCUUCCUUCAAAGCAGGUAAAGGUGUUAUCACUCCCAUUUCCCCAGCUUAGUGCCUCAUUUAGCGAUCUCUCUUCCGCAUGUGGCGGAUUAUUCUCUCUUUCAUGCGGAUUAUUUCCCCUCCAGCCGAAUGGGUUACCUUCUUCCGUGGAUGCUCUCUUGGUGUCGAGAAAUCAUUUUUGAUUUUUAAGCCGUCAGCGUUUUCGGAUCGAAAAAUGAUUCUGCAACACCAGUGAGCAUCAAAGGAGGUAGAGGUGUUAUCACUACCAUUUCUCCAGCUUAGUGCUUCGCUUAGCGGUCUCUCUUCCGCAUGUGGCGGAUUAUUCUCUCUUUCAUGCGGAUUAUUUCCCCUCCAUCCGAAUAGGUUAACUUCUACCAUGGAUGCUCCUUCUAGCCGGUAUGAAGUAGUAUGGGUGAUCGGUAGUUUCUCAACACUAAGAGAGCUUCCUUCAAAGCAGGUGGCGGUUAUUCUUUCUUUCAUGCGGAUUAUUUCCCCUCCAUCUGAAUGGAUUACCUUCUACCAUGGAUGCUCCUACUAGCCGGUAUGAAGUAGUAUGGGUGAUCGGUAGUUUCUCAACACUAAGAGAGCUUCCUUCAAAGCAGGUAAAGGUGUUAUCACUCCCAUUUCCCCAGCUUAGUGCCUCAUUUAGCGAUCUCUCUUCCGCAUGUGGCGGAUUAUUCUCUCUUUCAUGCGGAUUAUUUCCCCUCCAGCCGAAUGGGUUACCUUCUUCCGUGGAUGCUCUCUUGGUGUCGAGAAAUCAUUUUUGAUUUUUAAGCCGUCAGCGUUUUCGGAUCGAAAAAUGAUUCUGCAACACCAGUGAGCAUCAAAGGAGGUAGAGGUGUUAUCACUACCAUUUCUCCAGCUUAGUGCUUCGCUUAGCGGUCUCUCUUCCGCAUGUGGCGGAUUAUUCUCUCUUUCAUGCGGAUUAUUUCCCCUCCAUCCGAAUAGGUUAACUUCUACCAUGGAUGCUCCUUCUAGCCGGUAUGAAGUAGUAUGGGUGAUCGGUAGUUUCUCAACACUAAGAGAGCUUCCUUCAAAGCAGGUAAAGGUGUUAUCACUCCCAUUUCCCCAGCUUAGUGCCUCAUUUAGCGAUCUCUCUCCCGCAGGUGGCGGUUAUUCUCUCUUUCAUGCGGAUUAUUUCCCCUCCAGCCGAAUGGGUUAACUUCUACCAUGGAUGCUCCUUCUAGCCGGUAUGAAGUAGUAUGGGUGAUCGGUAGUUUCUCAACACUAAGAGAGCUUCCUUCAAAGCAGGUAAAGGUGUUAUCACUACCAUUUCCCCAGCUUAGUGCCUCAUUUAGCGAUCUCUCUUCCGCAUGUGGCGGAUAAUUCUCUCUUUCAUGCGGAUUAUUUCCCCUCCAUCCGAAUAGGUUAACUUCUACCAUGGAUGCUCCUUCUAGCCGGUAUGAAGUAGUAUGGGUGAUCGGUAGUUUCUCAACACUAAGAGAGCUUCCUUCAAAGCAGGUAAAGGUGUAUCACUCCCAUU